AGCUGGAGAUGUUUGUUUAUAUUUGUAUUUUCCAUUAUAAUUUUGUACCUUUUCUUUACAUUGAUUAUUAAGAUUUUAUUGUUUAUUAAUUGUAUUUUCGUGUAUAAUGUGUGGUCCGGAACAAUAGGGAAUUAUGGAUGCGUCCGACAAUCAGAAUUUGGAGUCUGUUGCUUUUCAAACAAGCGAGGGUUCGUUGUACGUCCUCCAACUUACGAAUUGCAAUACAGGUUCUAAAGAAACUACUGUCCCGCUUCAACUGUUGAUUGAUGAAGCGGUUCUGAAGAAUGAUUACUUUGCCCAAACUUCGCAGCAUACUACAGAAGAAUUACAGCAACAACCACGAUUUAACCCUGCUGGCAUAGAACACGAAAAUGUAACAUAUUGUAUUAGUAAUGAAGAACUUCACAAAGUCAUACCGCAAAGGAAGUUGAAGCCAAAUCUUAAUGUGGUUCCUGUGAAAGAACAACUGGUUGCAUGUGGUGCCCCGCCAAUGUUGGUUAAACCCAGUGCACCCCCAAUGAUAACUGUUUCGCCAAUUACAGAGACAAACAAAAAUAAUGUGCAACCCAAGAAAAGACCUAAAGAAUCUAAAGUUAGAAUUGUUUUUAAAGAAAAUGUUAAGGAGUUCAAAAGUAAAACUUGUAUUAUACCAAAUUAUUUCCACAUACCAGAUAGGGCAGUGCCACCUCGAGCCAUAGCUGUGUUGCCAGCCAUACUGCGAAUGCACCGUGACGUCAUAUAUCCACGACGAAAUCUUCCAAUGCACGUGCGAUUCGGUCCUAUUAAAGGAAUAUGCACAAAAAUAUGCCUUGCAGAAGCUGAUGAAAUAAUAUUUGAAUCGGUAUUGAAUAACAAACCCAUAUUUUUCGUCAACCGUGAAGAACACUGUGUCACAUAUGUGGAUGUGUCAGAUAAAGAUAAGUCAAACUGGCUGGGUCUCCUCCCAAUAGGCACGCAAGACACAGCAAAUGUAUGGCUUUAUGAAGAAGACAGUGAAUUGUAUGGCAUUUCAGUAAAAACUUUAAUGCCUCGAGUGCCUCUGAGGCUUGGAUAUAGCAAACAAUAUGCUGUGCAACACAAUUUGCCAAGCGGACAACCAAUCCUUGAUUUAACUAAAGCUUUUCCCAAUGUUAGACAAUGUCUCCAAUGCGAAAAAGCUUUCAGCUCGGAAGCGUUAUUACAAAAACAUACAACUAUAGCCCAUAAGAACGUAUCCCGACGACGCUAUCGUUGUUCUUUUUGUACGAGGACUUUCUCGAGAUUGUUUAGUUUGCGGAGGCAUGUGGCCCGAUUCUGUACAGAAAAUAGAAAGAUAUUAAAUAAAACAAAACAAUCCACUGAGCCAGAGCCGAAGUCAGAUGUUGGACUAUUCACGCAAAGUACAGAAGACAACAAAUUACCAUCUGAUGAAAGUUUUCAGAACUACACCACUAGCUUAGAUUUCUCUACAAACCUUUUCGAUACGGACAGAAUGCCCAAUUUGGAUAUAUCUGGCAGUUCUAAAUCGGAAGAUUUUAAUCCUUAUAUCGGAUUUAAAGACGACAUUAACUUGGCUAAUGAUGAAAGACUGGAUUCGACGUUAUUUUCGUAUGAUGAUUCGAAUAAGUCUUUAGCCGUGAGCAAUCCAAAGAAUGAUGAGCACAUUUUUUGUCCUUAUUGUAAUGAAGGUAUGAUAAAAAGUAAGAAACGACAACAUAUUUUGAGAGAUUGUCCAAAGAGGCGAUUCUAUUGCGAGUGUGGACAGAUAUUUCAUAAAAAGGACGGCUUAGCUACGCAUAUACACAGUGAACAUAUUAAUCCAAAAAUCACUGCAACAACGAUGGUCACAGUAGAGUCUGUGAAAAACGAAAAACCUAAUGAUGACGCGCCGUAUACGUGUGAAGAAUGCGACUGUAGGUUUAAGCGUCGAGGCAUGUUAGUGAAUCAUCUGUGGCGCACUCACCAGCGCCAGCCGAAGGGGGUGCCUGUAAAGAAAAGGGUGCUUCACUACCCUUGCGGCAUCUGCCCUAAAAUCUACCGUGCGGCUGCUAAGCGCGACCAUCAUGUAAACAAACAUCAUCCCGAUUCCCAGUUCUUCCGCGCAAAGCCCGUAGAGGGUGAACAGCGGACUCACGAGCCAGCUUACUGCAUGUCUUGUCACCGUCAGUACUCGACCCGCGCUAAACUACUGCAGCAUAUUAGGGCUCGGCAUCCACACUUGGCUUCCCCUAUUCAAACAAAGAAGAAAGCCAAACCAGCGUCUACUGAAGUGAAAUAAGUUUUUCCCUAGCCUAUGUGCAUAGAAGAGGCAUCUCCACAUAAUACGCACCACCUGUCAAUCCCGUGGAUUCUCAAUGAAGAUCGAUUCAAGUGCAUACGAUCUAACGAUUUUUUGUACCAAUUUAUUGAUGAACUUUUCAAGCGAAUCUAUUCAAUAGAAAGAUUAAGCAAAGCGUAAAGUCGACUAUGGCAACAUUCAUCAAUUUAUCAACUUAUCCCUAGGAUUUUCUAUUCCUCAUUAAAUCAUUUUUCUCCAACGCCUUCAUACAUAUGACAUAAAAUAAGGAAGACAUAUUUUUGGUGUCAUUGUCUGUUUCAGUAGAAUAUAACAAAUAUAAAAUAGGUAUGUACCGAAAGAUAUUUUUGAUGGUAUUGUUUGUUUCAGUCGAAUAAAUAAC